CCAGCUUGCUGGUCUGAUCAGUGGCGAACGGGUGUAGUAACACGUGAGCAACCUGCCCUUCACUCUGGGAUAAGCCUUGGAAACGAGGUCUAAUACCGGAUAUGAGACGCACCGGCAUCGGUAGCGUCUGGAAAGAUUUAUCGGUGAGGGAUGGGCUCGCGGCCUAUCAGCUUGUUGGUGGGGUGAUGGCCUACCAAGGCGACGACGGGUAGCCGGCCUGAGAGGGCGACCGGCCACACUGGGACUGAGACACGGCCCAGACUCCUACGGGAGGCAGCAGUGGGGAAUAUUGCACAAUGGGCGCAAGCCUGAUGCAGCGACGCCGCGUGAGGGAUGACGGCCUUCGGGUUGUAAACCUCUUUCAGCAGGGAAGAAGCGCAAGUGACGGUACCUGCAGAAGARGCGCCGGCUAACUACGUGCCAGCAGGCCGCGGUAAUACGUAGGGCGCWAGCGUUGUCCGGAAUUAUUGGGCGUAAAGAGCUCCGUAGGCGGUUUGUCGCGUCUGCUGUGAAAUCCUCAGGCUCAAMCUGGGGCKUGCAGUGGGUACGGGCAGACUAGAGUGCGGUAGGGGUGACUGGAAUUCCUGGUGUAGCGGUGGAAUGCGCAGAUAUCAGGAGGAACACCGAUGGCGAAGGCAGGUCACUGGGCCGCAACUGACGCUGAGGAGCGAAAGCAUGGGGAGCGAACAGGAUUAVAUACCCUGGUAGUCCAUGCCGUAAACGUUGGGCACUAGGUGUGGGGCUCAUUCCACGAGUUCCGUGCCGCAGCAAACGCAUUAAGUGCCCCGCCUGGGGAGUACGGCCGCAAGGCUAAAACUCAAAGAAAUUGACGGGGGCCCGCACAAGCGGCGGAGCAUGCGGAUUAAUUCGAUGCAACGCGAAGAACCUUACCAAGGCUUGACAUGCACCGGUAACACUCAGAGAUGGGUGCCCCGCAAGGUCGGUGUACAGGUGGUGCAUGGUUGUCGUCAGCUCGUGUCGUGAGAUGUUGGGUUAAGUCCCGCAACGAGCGCAACCCUCGUCCCAUGUUGCCAGCGGGUUAUGCCGGGGACUCAUGGGAGACUGCCGGGGUCAACUCKGAGGAAGGUGGGGAUGACGUCAAAUCAUCAUGCCCCUUAUGUCUUUGGGCUUCACGCAUGCUACAAUGGCCGGUACAAAGGGCUGCRAUACCGCGAGGUKGAGCGAAUCCCCAAAAAGCCGGUCUCAGUUCGGGAUUGGGGGUCUGCAACUCCGACCCCAUGGAAGUCGGAGUCGCUAGUAA
rnacentral:rRNA from 1 species